GUAGGUGGCAAGCGUUGUCCGGAAUUAUUGGGGCGUAAAGCGCGCGCAAGGCGGUUCUUUAAGUCUGAUGUGAAAGCCCACGGGCUCAACCGUGGAGGGUCAUUGGAAACUGGAGAACUUGAGUACAGAAGAGGAAAGCGGAAUUCCACGUGUAGCGGUGAAAUGCGUAGAGAUGUGGAGGAACACCAGUGGCGAAGGCGGCUUUCUGGUCUGUAACUGACGCUGAGGCGCGAAAGCGUGGGGAGCAAACAGGAUUAGAUACCCUGGUAGUCCACGCCGUAAACGAUGAGUGCUAAGUGUUAGGGGGUUUCCGCCCCUUAGUGCUGCAGCUAACGCAUUAAGCACUCCGCCUGGUGAGUACGGCCGCAAAGGCUG
rnacentral:rRNA from 1 species